AACGAACGCUGGCGGCAGGCUUAACACAUGCAAGUCGAACGCAUCCUUCGGGGUGAGUGGCAGACGGGUGAGUAACGCGUGGGAACGUGCCCUUCAGUUCGGGAUAACCCAGGGAAACUUGGGCUAAUACCGGAUACGUGCGAGAGCAGAAAGAUUUAUCGCUGAAGGAUCGGCCCGCGUCUGAUUAGCUAGUUGGUAGGGUAAUGGCCUACCAAGGCGACGAUCAGUAGCUGGUCUGAGAGGAUGAUCAGCCACAUUGGGACUGAGACACGGCCCAAACUCCUACGGGAGGCAGCAGUGGGGAAUAUUGGACAAUGGGCGCAAGCCUGAUCCAGCCAUGCCGCGUGAGUGAUGAAGGCCUUAGGGUUGUAAAGCUCUUUC
rnacentral:rRNA from 1 species